UACCCGAUGCAUUAUUUUUUUUUGCAGGAUUCGUUCAAUUGGAGGAAGAAUACAGGCAACAUAACACAGCCUUACAAUUGCAAAACCAAUAUUUCAAUUUCGAUUUGGUAAGAAAUUGGCCUCGUCUGGUGCAGGCAGGGAAUAUUGAAGUGGCAACUGUCGGACUGUUUUGUUUUUUUGUAUCGUGGGAACAUAAUUUUGAUUGAGAAGUCCAAAAUGGGAGAAGAGAAGAGACUUGAAGAGGAGCAUGUAGAUAAGUUGAUCAUAGAUAGGGAAGGCUAAUCGAAAUAAGAUACCGUUGACAUGAAAAGGAUAGAAAUCGACGGAGGAAAAUCAAGAACUGAAAGCAAAACGAGACUUGUCUGGCAAAAACCCAACCGAAAUAGACGAGGCAAAAGAGAGAUGAGCAGCAACUAAACAAACCGACUUGCGAGGUUCCAAUUGUUAACCAAAUCCCUAAAAAGCAACCCCAAGUCUCCUAGGUGAAGAACAGUGCAAAGGACAUGGCAAGUUGGGAAGGGAUUUAAUGCACAAUCAUUGCUAACCGAUCAAGGAUAAGGGCAUAAAACCCCACAAAGCAGUUGAUUAUCACGCCAAUAGACAAUCCAAAAGUGGCCACCAAGCCACACUAAUCCAAGCCUUCAGACCACAGGCUCAAGACCAGAAAUCGAUAAAAAAACGAGAGAGAGCUGCAGACGGACGCUGCGAGAUGAGCCAAUUCAACUGGGAAGAUGCACGAAAAGGAAAUUGAUAAUUUCCAGGUAACCUCGAUAUCAACUAUUGCAAUCCACAGUAAAUCACACUGAACACUUUUAGUUUUUUUUGUUAAUAACUAGCUAUCUCGCCAACAAUAUGCCGUGGGCAUGAUGGCCUGAACUUAAUUUUGUGUUAAUGCUAUGGACAUGUUUUCUACUACAAAAAUUGAAAGACAAUAUGUUGAAUUUGGAAUUGCAAGAUACUAAUUAAAAGCUAAAA